CGCGUGAGGAACCUGCCUUUCAGAGCGGGACAACAGUUGGAAACGACUGCUAAUACCGCAUAACAUAUGUUUGUCGCAUGGCAGAUAUAUCAAAGAUUUAUCGCUGAGAGAUGGCCUCGCGUCUGAUUAGCUAGUUGGUAGGGUAACGGCCUACCAAGGCGACGAUCAGUAGCCGGACUGAGAGGUUGGCCGGCCACAUUGGGACUGAGAUACGGCCCAGACUCCUACGGGAGGCAGCAGUGGGGAAUAUUGGGCAAUGGGCGCAAGCCUGACCCAGCAACGCCGCGUGAAGGAAGAAGGCUUUCGGGUUGUAAACUUCUUUUAAGAGGGAAGAGCAGAAGACGGUACCUCUUGAAUAAGCUCCGGCUAACUACGUGCCAGCAGCCGCGGUAAUACGUAGGGAGCGAGCGUUGUCCGGAUUUACUGGGUGUAAAGGGCGUGCAGCCGGGAGUACAAGUCAGAUGUGAAAUCCCGCGGCUCAACCGCGGAACUGCAUUUGAAACUGUAUUUCUUGAGUACUGGAGAGGCAGACGGAAUUCCUAGUGUAGCGGUGAAAUGCGUAGAUAUUAGGAGGAACACCAGUGGCGAAGGCGGUCUGCUGGACAGCAACUGACGGUGAGGCGCGAAAGCGUGGGGAGCAAACANGAUUAGAUACCCUGAUAGUCCACGCUGUAAACGAUGGAUACUAGGUGU
rnacentral:rRNA from 1 species